rnacentral:lncRNA from 1 species
CGGCGGCGUGGAGAGCGGCGGCGCGCGGGUGCAUCCGCAACAAGCGCCUCGAAGCCGCGGAAUUUUGCCUCGGGAACAUGGGCCACCUGCGCGGCGCGCGCGCGGCGAGGGACGCGAGGAAAGAGCCCGAGCUCGACGCGCGCGUCGCCGCCGUCGCCGUGCACCUGGGUCUGGUCGAGGAGGCGGAGCGUCUGUACGAACGCUGCGGGCGGCACGACCUCCUGAACGAGCUCCUUCAGGCGUCGGGACGAUGGGACGAGGCUCUCCGAGUCGCGUCCGCGAGGGACCGGAUCCACCUCAAGACGACGCACUAUAACCGCGCGAAGC